rnacentral:rRNA from 1 species
UACAGAGGGUGCGAGCGUUAAUCGGAAUUACUGGGCGUAAAGGGCGCGUAGGCGGAGUAUUAAGUUAGAUGUGAAAUCCCUGGGCUUAACCUAGGAACUGCAUCUAAUACUGGUAUUCUAGAGUGCGGUAGAGGAUAGUGGAAUUUCCGGUGUAGCGGUGAAAUGCGUAGAUAUCGGAAGGAACACCAGUGGCGAAGGCGGCUAUCUGGACUGACACUGACGCUGAGGCGCGAGAGCGUGGGGAGCAAACAGG